AACGACGCAAAAUAAUUGAUUAGUCAUACCGCUAUAUCUUUGAAAGUUUGAAUCACAUUUGACAGUAAUGCAGACAACAUUUUCAAAUUAAACAUAUUUCUGACAUAUUAACAAGGGUACUUUAUCUGAAUCUAACAAUGUAAGAGGAGCUCAUUGAAAUACUUGACCCUCGGCCAAACUCCAUGUAUGAUCUCACAUCCAAAAAAAAGUAGUAUCCCAAAAU
rnacentral:misc_RNA from 1 species